rnacentral:rRNA from 1 species
AGCAGCAGCCGCGGGAAUACGUAGGUGGCAAGCGUUGUCCGGAAUUAUUGGGCGUAAAGGGCUCGCAGGCGGCUUCUUAAGUCUGAUGUGAAAGCCCCCGGCUCAACCGGGGAGGGUCAUUGGAAACUGGGAAACUUGAGUGCAGAAGAGGAGAGUGGAAUUCCACGUGUAGCGGUGAAAUGCGUAGAGAUGUGGAGGAACACCAGUGGCGAAGGCGACUCUCUGGUCUGUAACUGACGCUGAGGAGCGAAAGCGUGGGGAGCGAACAGGAUUAGAUACCCCGGUAGUCCCUGUCUCUUAUAC